GUACCUAAUCAUUAAGCAAUUUGUUAAAACGUGUAUUUAUGUGGCUGGUAUUUUCUACUGGAUAUUCCGAAAAACCGAUCGUUUGGAGAUAGAAAUUGCAUUUCGCAUUUUUAUUUCUCCAUCGAUUGCGUUCACAUUGUGCUUCAUGUAAUUUUAGAUUAAAUUCCAGACAUAUAUGACAAAGGAAAACAAUGUAAGGUGUUAAAGUAUAGUUCCCAAAAUCUGGAGCUGCAGCUCAAGAUGACUUCAUUUCGUCAAAAGUGCUGCCAUUUCUGCUCCAAGCGAAGAAAAUAGCAACACUGUAAAUACGAAGUAGAAUAUCGGCGCAGCUGAAUUAGAAAAAUAGUUCCUGACGAUAUGCACCAACAUUGCAAGCUUAAGACAAAAUUAAAAAUAUUCUUUCUCACUCUACAAAAGCUCCCAGAAGCUUAUUCUCAUUCAUUUCAAAUCAGCGUAGUAUAUAUAAUUUUGAUUUUAGAGAAGAGGCCUUUCUAAUAUUUCAGCUAAAUUUUCAAAGUUUUUACACAAAAAUAUCGAACAAACAGGAAUUUCGUUUCUUUGUUUAUACUUAUAUUUAAUAAAUGAGUACUAUAAUUAAGUAAACUAUGUAAGUGUUUUAAUUUUCUUCAUGAUUGUAAUCUGGUAUUGGGUAUAAGUCUGUUGAUCCUCCCCUCCUAUGUGCCUUCUCUCGCGAGGUUGGAGACCAAUAUGGCAAAGUCUUCCCUCUUGUGGGCUUGACGAAGUAGUGUGUUAUCAUUGGUGUGUGUCCACUCUCUGAUGUUUCUGAGCUACGAGUUUCUCUUUCUGCCUAUACUUCUCUUACACUCAAUUUUGCCUUCCAGGAUUAGCUGCAAUUGUUCAUACUCUUCAUUGAGCAUUAUGUGUUCAAGCUAGGAAUUGUUCCAAAUUUUAAUGAGACCAGUCAAGAGCGGGCGGGUGUUCACUCUUGAUAGAACUUCUUCAUUGGUUGUCCUUAAGGUCCAACUGAUUCGAAGUAUUCUGCUGUACAUCGAAAGUACAAAUGAGUUAAGUUUUUUAAUGUCCACGUUUCGCAUGCGUACAGAAGCAAGGGCCAUAUGUAGUUCUCAGUCAAACUGUGUGGACAGCUUGAGGUGGCAUAACAAGUUACGCAUGUUCAGGAACCCUGCUCUUUUUUUAUGUCUAUGUGAUAGGUGGACCGAAGCUUGAACUUUGUGAUUUCCUAUCUUGACCAUUUUUCCUGCCCUUUAUGAUAAUAUUGUUUUC